AAACCAUAGGGGGUCCAGCCUGCCCAGUGACACCAGUUCAACGGCCGCGGUAUCCUGACCGUGCGAAGGUAGCGUAAUCACUUGUCUUUUAAAUUAAGACUAGUAUGAAAGGCACCACGAGAAUCACACUGUCUCCUUUUUCUAAUCUGUGAAACUAAUCUUCCCGUGAAGAAGCGGGAAUUUUCACAUAAGACGAGAAGACCCUAUGGAGCUUCAGACAAAAUAAUGCUUUCCCCCCCCCCCAAUUUUCUUUAAAGAAAACAUUUACUCGAUACCAAUUAUUAAGUCUUAGGUUGGGGCGACCACGGAGUAAAAAUUACCCUCCGUGCUGAACAGGACCUCCUUAAAUAAGAGCCACAGCUCUACGAAUCAAUAAAUUGACAAUAUUUGACCCAAUUAUCUUGAUCAACGAAACAAGUUACCCUAGG
rnacentral:rRNA from 1 species